UGGGAUGUGGCUCAGUGGCAGUGUUUACCUAACAUGCACAAGGCCCUGAGUUCCAUCCCCAACAUCACAA
rnacentral:tRNA from 1 species